GCGUAAAAAGCGACAACAACGUUCCAAUACGCGUAAAAAUCAGAACAAAUACUCCAUUCGAAAUUGAAACUGCUGAGCUGGCAGCAGAGUUAGUUACACCAGCACCGUCGGAGGAUGACGUGGCAGUGGCGUUGACGGAGGCUUGGCGGUGGAGAUCGGUGGUUCGAAGAUCAAGGAUUUCGAGAUAACCAGUAUCUUGGAGCCAUGAUUCAAAUACGGGUUCGGGUACACUAAUUAGGAUAACGAGUUAGUUGAGAAUGGCAUUUUUGAACCCUCUUUAAUAAAGGAUUUGUUUUCAGGUAUUUAUCUGUAACGUUUGGUGGGAAAUUGCACGAGCAACCAACAAUUUUAGGGAUAAUUUUGAAAAGGAAAAGGGGUCAAAAUUUGGAGGAAAUGACAAAAAUGGUCCCUUAUGUUUGAAGAUAGGUUCAAACUAGUCUUUUAAAUAAUGUACGAAAUAGUUUUGAUUCUUUAAGUUUGUCAAAAGUUACCAUUCUUAGUCUCAGUUAAAUAUUUAUUGACGAUAAAAAAAAUUAGCAAGAACUCACAUUUAGAGGUACAAUUUUUGUGAUUUCUGUUGUUUUUAUUUAUCUUUACAGUUUGGUGCAGCCGCUUGAAGUGUAAUUUCAACUACUUUUUAGUGUCUAGUGAAGGUUUUUAUAUGAGAAAAGGGUAAAAAUAUCCCUCUACUUUCAGUUA